UGUUUGUUGUGAUGAAUCAUAAGGACGAUAUCCGAGUACGCUGGCUCUUGAAAAAGGUCUCCUUCCUUGAUUAUAGUAAUUCCUAAACUGGUCAUAUAGUCUGGGCAACCU
rfam:Triticum aestivum genome assembly, contig: Triticum_aestivum_CS42_TGACv1_scaffold_143357_2BL